rnacentral:lncRNA from 1 species
AAAAGGUGGGAAGAUAUUGUUCGCGAAGCUUUAAUUUCAUCUCGUCCCAUAGAGUCACAGGCGACUGUCCAAAUUGAUAUAGUUGCUCCUCCACCGAAUUCCAAUAUUGUCUAGCGGCUCCCUGUAGCGUCAUCUUACCAAUGCGAAGUUUAUGAGCAUCUGUCAAGUUGUACCAGGCGAAAUAAUCUUCCAUGGCUUGAACCCAGUCAAGAAACAUCAUAGGAUCCCCACGACCAUCAAAAGUAGGAGCGGUAGG